UGGUUCUGGCAUCGAUGAAGAACGCAGCGAAAUGCGAUAAGUAAUGUGAAUUGCAGAAUUCAGUGAAUCAUCGAAUCUUUGAACGCACAUUGCGCCCGCCAGCACUCUGGCGGGCAUGCCUGUUCGAGCGUCAUUUCAACCCUCGGGCCCUCGUUUGGCCCGGUGUUGGGGCGCUACGGGUCUGCCGGACCUGUAGGCCCUCAAAAGCAGUGGCGGGCUCGCCAGGACUCCGAGCGUAGUAGUUCUCCUCUCGCUCAGGCGGCCUGGCGUGCUUCGGCCGUUAAAACCCCAACUGUAAAUCACAGAAGGUUGACCUCGGAUCAGGUAGGAAUACCCGCUGA
rnacentral:misc_RNA from 1 species